GAUGAACGCUGGCGGCGUGCCUAAUACAUGCAAGUCGAGCGAAUGGAUUAAGAGCUUGCUCUUAUGAAGUUAGCGGCGGACGGGUGAGUAACACGUGGGUAACCUGCCCAUAAGACUGGGAUAACUCCGGGAAACCGGGGCUAAUACCGGAUAACAUUUUGAACCGCAUGGUUCGAAAUUGAAAGGCGGCUCCGGCUGUCACUUAUGGAUGGACCCGCGUCGCAUUAGCUAGUUGGUGAGGUAACGGCUCACCAAGGCAACGAUGCGUAGCCGACCUGAGAGGGUGAUCGGACACACUGGGACUGAGACACGGCCCAGACUCCUACGGGAGGCAGCAGUAGGGAAUCUUCCGCAAUGGACAAAAGUCUGACGGAGCAACGCCGCGUGAGUGAUGAAGGCUUUCGGGUCGUAAAACUCUGUUGUUAGGGAAGAACAAGUGCUAGUUGAAUAAGCUGGCACCUUGACGGUACCUAACCAGAAAGCCACGGCUAACUACGUGCCAGCCGCCGCCGUAA
rnacentral:rRNA from 1 species